rnacentral:rRNA from 1 species
AGAAUCAACGCUGGCGGCGUGCCUAACACAUGCAAGUCGAACGCGAAAGGGGAGCAAUCCCUGAGUAGAGUGGCAAACGGGUGAGUAACACGUGGGUGACCUGCCUUCGAGUGGGGGAUAACGUUCCGAAAGGAACGCUAAUACCGCACGACAUCCUGCUUUUGGAAAAGCGGAGAUCAAAGCUGGGGAUUCGCAAGAACCUAGCGCUUGAAGAGGGGCCCGCGCCUGAUUAGCUAGUUGGUGAGGUAACGGCUCACCAAGGCUACGAUCAGUA